rnacentral:rRNA from 1 species
GACGGAGGAUGCAAGCGUUAUCCGGAAUGAUUGGGCGUAAAGCGUCCGCAGGUGGCAGUUCAAGUCUGCUGUCAAAGACCGGGGCUUAACCUCGGAAAGGCAGUGGAAACUGAACAGCUAGAGUAUGGUAGGGGCAAAGGGAAUUCCUGGUGUAGCGGUGAAAUGCGUAGAGAUCAGGAAGAACAUCGGUGGCGAAGGCGCUUUGCUGGACCAUAACUGACACUGAGAGAUGAAAGUCGGGGGAGCGAAAAGG